rnacentral:rRNA from 1 species
UACGGGGGGAGCAAGCGUUGUUCGGAUUUACUGGGCGUAAAGGGCGCGUAGGCGGCCUCUGCAAGUCAAUUGUGAAAUCUCCGGGCUUAACUCGGAAAGGUCAACUGAUACUGCAGGGCUAGAGUGCGGAAGGGGCAACUGGAAUUCUCGGUGUAGCGGUGAAAUGCGUAGAUAUCGAGAGGAACACCUGCGGCGAAGGCGGGUUGCUGGGCCGACACUGACGCUGAAGCGCGAAAGCUAGGGGAGCGAACGGG